rnacentral:sRNA from 1 species
UUAUGCUAAAAUUUAUAAGAUAGUCCUUCUUAGCCAUCUUUAGCUCCCGGUUUUUAAGGACUAUCCAACUCAUUAAAAUGCUU